AGUGAACCUAGGCGCACUCAACCACUGAGCCACAUCCAAGGCCAUUUCUUAAAUCUUAUUUUGAGAAAAGGUCUCAUUAAGUUGUUCAGGCUGGCCUUGAACUUGUGAUCCUCCUGACUUGGUCUCCCAAGUCUCUGGGAUUUCAGGGGUAUGGCACCACACCUGGUUUAAAAGUUAUUUUUUUUAAUGGUAGUAAACUCAACCUGAAUUUUACCAUUUCAACAAUUUUCCAGAAUAUACAAUAUGUCAAUGACAUCACAUUGUCACACAACCAAAUUUCAGGCCUCUUUUCAUCUUGCAAAACUGAAACUCUGUCCUAAUUAAAGACUAACUCCCCUUCCCCCAACCCUGGCAAGCCACACUACUCUUUCUCUGAGUGUGAAGAUGCUAGGGACCUCUUAGGUGGAAUCACAUGGUAAUUGCCCUUUUGAGGUCUGCUUUGGUUCAUUAGCUCAACAUCCUUAGCAUGCAUCUGCAGCAUGUUACUGAGCCUGCCUCCAUGGCAAGGCUUAGCACCCUAUACAAAUGCCACCUCCCCCUCCUCCAUUCAC
rnacentral:lncRNA from 1 species